rnacentral:rRNA from 1 species
UACGUAGGGGGCAAGCGUUGUCCGGAUUUAUUGGGCGUAAAGAGCUCGUAGGCGGUUCCGUAAGUCGAGUGUGAAAAAUCUGGGCUCAACCCAGUGGAGCACUCGAUACUGCGGUGACUAGAGUACGGUAGAGGAGUGUGGAAUUCCUGGUGUAGCGGUGAAAUGCGCAGAUAUCAGGAGGAACACCAACGGCGAAGGCAGCACUCUGGGCCGGUACUGACGCUGAGGAGCGAAAGCAUGGGGAGCGAACAGG